UACAUAUAUAGAUAAAUACAUAUGGGUAUAAGGCCAGGAGUGGUAUAACUGAAUCAUAUGGCAAUUAUUUCCCAUCCCACAGGAUUCAGUUAUUCGUGGGUGCGAGGGGGACCACAAACCUGGAAGGAAAUGGGAGGAAGAAAAAGAGAAACAGGAGACCAAGAAGAUGGUACCUAUCAAGGUCUCGUUUAUUGGGCUGAGGAAUUUUCCAGUACCUGUAAUUUCUCCAUUCUUGACUCUGCCUUAAAUUCAACUAGACAGCUGGCUUUUAAGACCGACUGGAGUAUUCUGGGAUUACAGUCAAAUAUUACAACACCAGGUUUAUUUGGUUCCAGCAUUCAAAUUCAGAGAUUUCCCCAGGCUGGACAACUGCUAAAUCAACUGAACUACUAUAUCUCUAGCUAAAAAUAAGGCUGCUAUGAACAUAGUGGAGCAUGUGUCCUUCUUACCAGUUGGGACAUCUUCUGGAUAUAUUCUGGCUACAUUCUGAGCAUGAAUGUGGUUUUUCUCUGAUCCAGGAGUAGUGUGGCCCAACUCUACUCCUAUCUACUUAAAAGACAACACAGGAGGCCUGCACAUUUGAGGUCACCUUGACAACACUGAAACCUCUUCUUCCCAUCUCAACAAUAAAAAGGUGGUGAAUAUCUUCAGAUACACAUCAAAUAUGCCU
rnacentral:lncRNA from 1 species